CUUCAUCUCUCAGCCUCAUAAUUCUCAUUCUUUAAGCCGUAUCUUUGUUUGGAAUGUGUAAAAUAGGUUGUAUUGCUUGCGGAAUUACUUUUCUACUUCCACUUUUUUGUAAUUUAACAUUCUCUCAUGCUUUCUCUUUGUUUCAUGCGUGUAGAAUGUUUGGAAUAAGCUUCAUUAUGUUUGGAAUAAGCUUCAUAAUUUUACUUUGAAGCUUAGGAAUAAACUCGAGACUCCGGUGCCACAGUUAGGAAGCGUGUAGGUAUUGAGAUAUUCCAACAGAACAUCAGGGAUGUUGAAAUAUGGAUUUUGAAGCUAAUGAAAGAGUUUUGAAGCUGAUGAUUGUAGUGCUUCGUCAUUUGAGGAGAUUGAUAACGAAGGGGAGAGAAACAUGGGAACAAAGUUUUACAUCCCUCUAAAGAAUUUUGUGGGAUGCCUUACUGAUGACACCGUAUAGAUUAAAAAGCUGAAGUCUGAAGAACCUAUCGUGGAAGAAAGUGGAGCGAGGAGAAGCAACUGAAAAUGCUAAAGAACAAGUUGAACCACAAGAGGAACCUAUUUUCUAUUUUGAUUGGAGUUGUUAAAGAUGUUUCCAUUUGUAAUGCUAUAGUUCUAUCUUUUGUUUUGGUAGAGCUUGACAAAUAUAUUGUCAUACAAUUUGGAUAGGUAUACUUUUGGUACUAUUAUGCUUUUGUUCUUUGUAGUUAACUGUGAAAUUUAAUAUAAAUAUUGAUCAUUUUUUA